UACGUAGGUGGCAAGCGUUGUCCGGAUUUACUGGGCGUAAAGGGCUCGUAGGCGGCCAACUAAGUCAGACGUGAAAUCCCUCGGCUUAACCGGGGAACUGCGUCUGAUACUGGAUGGCUUGAGUUCGGGAGAGGGAUGCGGGAAUUCAGGUGUAGCGGUGAAAUGCGUAGAUAUCUGGAGGAACACCGGUGGCGAAGGCGGCAUCCUGGACCGACACUGACGCUGAGGAGCGAAAGCCAGGGGAAGCAAAGCGGG
rnacentral:rRNA from 1 species